rnacentral:snRNA from 1 species
GGAUAUCUGUACAGCAUAC